CACGAUCCCCAAACUCUCUGGCGAGAAGUCCCCGAAAUCCUCCUUCAGGACAUGACAGAUAGAAGUGUGCCAGGCUGUGAAGAUGGCACAAACUGUUGAGAUUCCUAGCUUAUAACUCGCAGCAAAGGUAGCCUAGUGGAUAGCGCGUUGGACUAGUAAUCGGAAGGUUGCAAGUUCAAACCCCCGAGCUGAAAAGGUACAAAUCUGUCGUUCUGUCCCUGUACAGGCAGUUAACCCACCGUUCCUAGGCUGUCAUUGAAAAUAAGAAUUUGUUCUUUAACUGACUUGCCUAGUUAAAUAAAGGUUAAAAUAUAAGAAUCAAAUUUAAAAAAUACUUUGCUGUGUGCUGCCACUCGCCAAAAACAGGAAGGAUCACAGACAGCCUUUCUGCAGCACUUACGGGCAAGCUGUGAGUUCUCUCGUACGAGAGGUGAGGGGCAAGCUGCGAGUUCUCUCGUACGAGAGGUGAGGGGCAAGCUGUGAGUUCUCUCGUACGAGAGGUGAGGGGCAAGCUGCGAGUUCUCUCGUACGAGAGGUGAGGGGCGAGCUGUGAGUUCUCUCGUACUAGAGGUGAGGGGCAAGCCGUGAGUUCUCUCGUACGAGAGGUGAGGGGCAAGCUGUGAGUUCUCUCGUACGAGAGGUGAGGGGCAAGCUGUGAGUUCUCUCGUACGAGAGGUGAGGGGCAAGCUGUGAGUUCUCUCGUACUAGAGGUGAGGGGCAAGCUGUGAGUUCUCUCGUACGAGAGGUGAGGGGCAAGCUGUGAGUUCUCUCGUACUAGAGGUGAGGGGCAAGCCGUGAGUUCUCUCGUACGAGAGGUGAGGGGCAAGCUGUGAGUUCUCUCGUACGAGAGGUGAGGGGCAAGCCGUGAGUUCUCUCGUACGAGAGGUGAGGGGCAAGCUGUGAGUUCUCUCGUACGAGAGGUGAGGGGCAAGCCGCUGAAACAAGUUGUCCAAUCUGGCAACCGACAUCCGAAAGUAUUGAAAAUGUCUUUCCUCAACAAUGCUUCUCAUCGGUUGGACAAGUUUACAUGUCUUCUCCCUCUUCUAGUUCUCAGUGGACGAACUGGCCAUUUUCUCAGUUGUUUUUUUUCUUCCUUCUUCUCCUCCUGAGUAGUAAGAGCAGUUCAAGGUCUUGCUGUUCCAAGUUCUGGCAAUUGCAAUUCAUAUAGAGACAUGUUUGCUUCUGCCGUAAAAAAAAAAAUUGCAUCGUAAAGUAUAGAACACCAGACCAGCCAGACAUGUAUGUAUGUAGCUAGCUAGCAUUUGUAAACAAAAAGGCAUACAAACACCAGACAUGUAUGUAUGUAGCUAGCUAGCAUUUGUAAACAAAAAGGCAUACAACACCAGAUCCGGAAGUUUCAAAAUGUCGCCACUGGCUCCAGUCAGAGAGUGCCUCGGACCCUCUUGCCUGGGAAGCUACUCCGGCUCCCCAAGCCCCUUACUGUAUAUGGGUCUUUCUAUAAAUAAAAAAGGGGCCAAUGUGUGCCAUUGAAUCAACAUUUCAAAAUGGUUUGAAACUCAAAUAAAAAGGAUUUAGCAUUUUUUUUUGUUUUAAUAAAAAAUAAAAAAUAGGCCUAGGACUAUACAUCUUUUAAGCAGGGCUCAGACAAACAUUGGCAAGACA